rnacentral:tRNA from 1 species
UCGGGGGUCGUCCAAUUGGCAGGACACUGGACUUUGGAUCCAGGAAUCAGCGUUCGACCCGCUGCCCCCGAG